rnacentral:pre_miRNA from 1 species
AGUGGGAUAGCUGGGUCAAAUGGUUGUUCUAGUGUUUUGGGGAAUCUCCAUACUGCUUUCCAGAUUGGCUACACCAAUUUGCAGUCCCACCAGCAAU